rnacentral:misc_RNA from 1 species
GCAAUCUACCAGACCUGAUUGGCUAACAUCUGAUCAAAUCAAAAUCAAAACUAAGCAGCAUAUUCUCAACUGAACUAGUAUACAAAAAAGAAAGAAUCAAUAAUUGUCAGGAAUAACUUCAUAUACAGAAUAAUCGAUGAUUUAAGUGAAUGCUCAAGAAUUAUGGCUCUGGCCAUAACAACACACCCAUAUAAUUGCUUGCAACUAUUGUACACACUUGAGUAAAACCAAAAAACAGGAUACCACAGUCAAUACUAAAUAAUAGAAUUGAAACCAGUUAUUUGAAGCUAU